CUGGCUUACCCGUCUUGGAUCCAACCAGCUUCACCCAGAUGAGGGAUAGGGAUUCACAGUUUUCCUCCUCCUCUUUCUCCCCAACUCCUUUUUGCUGAAUUUUAAAUUUCCUCUGGAUUCGCCCCCUCAUUGCAGAGAUCUCCUGCUGUGCAAAAUGGGUCUUCUGGCUUGAGGUUUCCCCGGCUCAAAACAGCCCCAAAGCCUUGGCAUUAGAGGAAAAUGACGUAACUGCCUCCAGCAUCAGUCAGCUCAUACCUCUGCCCCAAAGCCCUGCAGGAUACCCAGAGACUGGAUGACUCUUCCAGUACCCUGGGCAUGGGGGCAUGGAGGAACGGAGACAAGCGAAGAUAAGAUGGAAGAUGCCUACCCACCGUGUCAUUAUUCCAGGCCCAGGACCCUUCCUCUGCAGAGACUGGGGAUGGAGCAUUGACUCAGAUAAGGAGAAUUCUUUGAACUUCUUUUGAGGAAGGCUAAUUCUGCUUUCUGCUGUUGUCUUUUGUGAAAUAAAGAAGCGACAGUACA